AAUUUAUAAGAGGGGGCGCACUCAGAGGCUUGCAAUGUGAAAGGGUUCACCAGUACAAAACUUUGAGAACCACUGUUGUAGAUGGUAAGCUCUUUGGGGCCAAGACUGUUCAUUUUGUGAGCUCCUCCUUAUUAAGUACACAGUCAGCCUCAGAAAUGGGUAAAUUAUACAUAGUUUAGUGGAUCUGCUAAAAAUAAAUGGAUUCUAGUAGAGCAGAAACUCCUUUAGGUCCUAGUCUGUACUUGAAAUUAAUAGGAAUUUGCCACAUAAAUCAGUGUGCACAGGAUUAGCCUUUUGUAGUCGUAAAAGAAGGGUAGCAGAGACAACAUACACAGAAUAUCCUUUUGGACUGUAUGACACAGUUCAAGUAACAAUCAGAUGGUGACCCUUUUCUCCACAUCUUUUCAUAGAUUCCAAAGCCAGAAGGGACCAUUGUGGUCAUCUAGUCUGACCUCCUGUAGAACACAGGCCAUAAAGGUCAACAUUGGAAUAACUUCACAAUGUAAUCAAUACAUGCCCUAAUACGAUAUUGUCUUAUAGUCAGUGUUGUAUUCUACAAUGAAGAGAAGAGACCUUAACUGCUCUAUGCUUCCUACCAUCGCCAUAGAAAUAUAACUUCCUGGAUUUUUGUAGAAAAGAGUGUCAGUACAGAUUGGAUUUCUUGUAGUUGCUUGUUAUAGAAGGACUAGUUGCAUUUCUUUUCUGAAUGCAGUUUAAUUUCAAAGCACCUCUUGCUCUGAAAACAGAAUGUGAUAUAAUGAUCAAAAGAUUUACAAAUUUCUAACCUAUCAUUUUUUUAUCAUUUGUUUAUAAUAUAUGAUAUGUAAUAUAUGAUGACAUCAUCCAGGUCAGGAUUGUGUCCCAUUGUUCUACACAUUUGUCAGAGGUAGACAUGCGUCCUGCACCAAAAAUCUUUCAGCCUAUGAUGUUUAUACAGUUCUGUUACACCUCUAAAAGUAAAACAAAUUAGGCCCAAAACAAGUUCUACAAAACCCAGCAGAAAAUUCUUAAUACAAAUUUAAAAGCAGUGUUUGCAAUCCAAAUAAUGUAGCAUUGUGCAAGUAGAUGAGAAAGUAAGAGAAACUCACUAGAAUCUAACUAAAAGUGAAACUGGUUUAUUUUCGUUUAUUAAGAUGCAGAAACAGCAGAAAUCGAUAAAAAAUAAGAUUUUUUUUAAUUCAGAUGCAAUUAUUGAAGUUACUCAUAACAGAAAUGUAAAGACUUUUUGUUUUGAAAUCCAGCUCAAACCCAGUAAACAGGUUUAGCAGUAGAGAAGUCAGUAGUCUUUUUUCAGACCUGUUUUAAAUAGGUGAAAAGUCUUUUAACUUGUUGGUGUUUAAGCUAAUUUCUUCCAAAGUGUGUUCCAUGUUUUGAACAGCUGAGCAGAAAAACAAUCACUGCUGUUCAAAGUAAAUGGUUUUCUGAACAGUUGCAUUAGCCCUAGCACGUGAGACUUGAGCCCUGUCUUGUCAUUGACCAAGCUGCUUUUAAAUGUGCAUUAAGGUGACUCUGUCUUGUCUGCAGUAAAAAGAUAAUGAAAAUACCAGGACCUUUUCCAAGCAUUUAGGAAGGUCUGAGGAAGAUGGGUAACUCUUCAAAUAGCUCAUGUUCUCUCUUCCAUUAGUACUGGAAGAUGAGAGCCAAAACUGUCUGAGCCUGCUGGAGAGGUGUGGCAGAGUGGGAAUGCCAGUUCUGUGGAAUGUUCUGUCCACUUGGAACUACACGCUUGAAGAGGUCGUGCUGGCUCAGGCAAUUGUGCAGAGGGACUGUAUCUUCACGCUGUCCCAAGUGUGCUGCUUGUAAGGGAUCUGUUUUAAGAGCCUUACCAGUUCUUUGUUCUGAAAUCCUCCCCAAUAGGCUAGAAGUGAACUCAGGGAUUUGAAGUUGAAUUAUUUGUAUUACCAGAACACCUAGAGGCCCCAACCAAGAUUAGGGUCCCAUUGUGCUAGGUGCCAUACAAAUACAUAGUAAAGGACAAUCUCUGACCCAAAGAAUUUACAGUCUAAGGUCCCUAUCCUACAUUGUGUAGCAUACAAUUGUGUAAUUUAAGACUGUAUCAUAUCCAUGUGCACAAGGGAGGCAAAUUAAGUUUACACAGGCCACCUUGAUUCGAUGUUUCCUAACUUCUGAGAGCUUGACUUUGCUUCCUUAAUGUUCUUUUAAUAUUUUGGUUAGGUUUUGCAGUGGUGGUGGUGGAGUGUUUAUAUAUAAUUUCCUUUCUCCUCUUUUAGAUGACAAUCGUCUGUGGGGAUUAGGAUUUUAAAUAAAAUAUCCCAUCAACAUCCUUUCCAGAUUUUUCCCAUUUCUAAUUCUACUCUACCUAAAUAGUUUUGGAUUUUUUGUUUUUUUUUAACAAUAGCAUACACUUCAUGGUUUUGGAGAUGUAUCCUAAAUUUUUAUUUCAGGAAGAUAGAGUUCCCACUGUACUUUUUCAGAUCUGUUGCUGUUUCCCCUUGAUAGACAGCGUACAUUCAGUUAUUUUUGGAAAUCAAACCCUUACCCAGUGCUGUGAAGCACUUUUACAAUAUGUAAUAGUGGGGAAAGCCACAUUAUAUGGCAGUGGUGGUGGUGGUGGUUGUGGGAAAUAUGGCACAAUGACACCCAUUUGAUGCAUGUGUUGGUCUACAGCAUCCGACUGUACACUAUACAUAGUGUAUUGUAUAAUGUACUUGUAUCAUAUAGGUCCAGUAAGAUUGAUACUUAGGUUUUUAGCAGACAACAUUUUUCUGUCCCCACAAACCACUGUGCAGUUUGCUGAGCACCAGCUGGUGCCAACCCUCCCUCCCACAUGUGGCUAUUUCAAUAGCACUGGAUGGAUAGUUUUUAAAGCACUUAAAAUCUUGUCACAUAAAAGCUACUUAAUUGUAACAUUUGUAUUUUUAUUCAAAUUAUUUUCUGAUUGCCUGCUACCUUUUUUGGAGAAUUUCAGGUGCUUCAGUUCUGUAUGCUAGUUCUACAGUGGAAAUGUUCUGUGCCCUAAAAUCUAUGCAAUAUUCCACAGGAGAACAUGUGAGGCUUGGUAAAGACAGUUGAGCCACAGCACAUACCAUAUUAGACAGAUGCUAGUACCCCAGGUAAAUCAGUGGACCGUGAUCAUGAUGGCUUUUCCUUGAAGCUCCAGAAGGGGGCUAACGGAGGUUAGCCCACCACACUUUCAUUUCCCAUUCUCAUACAUUCCCUCCCCUGAAAGUAUCCCCCACACUUAACAGUUUAAAUUCAAAUUCAGCAAUUCAAGCUAUGUUUAAGUUACCCAAACUCUCUUUGGGGCUCAUGUGAAACUAUGAGCCAAAUUCUCCAGUCUUUAGAGGGAAAAGUAGUCUUUGGAAAAUGCACGUAGGAUGUGAGAAGUGAGAGGAAGCAUGAUCUUGUGGCUCAGGCACUGGACUGGGACUGGAUUAAUUGCCUAAAGUGCUAUAGAUUCCCUGUGAGACAUUGGGCAAAUCACUUAGGCCCGGAUCCAUACAGGUAUUUAGGCUCCUAACUUUCAGUGAUUUCAAUGGGAUUUAGGAGCCUAAAUAUCUUUGUAGAUCUGGACCUUAAUUUCUCUGGACUUCAGCUCCCCUUUAGUAAAAUGGGGUAAUAGUACUUACGUUCUCCCAUCCUUUGUUUAUUUUCAGUGCCAACUGGAGUAAAAAGUAAGAAAAGCAUUUUUUAAAUAUAUCUUCUAUAAGUGAUCAUAUAAUCCAGAAACUUUAAGCUGCUGCUAGUUCCAUUUCUCCCCAGGACACACAUUAUACACAUUAACACCAUCAGAAAAAUAUACUACAACUGCUCUGUUUAUAAAUUCCAGCAAUUCUGAAAUUACAGUCAAGCAAUGGUAGACAUUCAGAUACAAAAGGGCUUUACAAAUGUUCCAGAUACUUACUAGCCAGAGGCCUACUAGUGAAGACAGGGAAAAAGGGGAUUCCUACUAGGUUAUUGGAUCCUGGUCUGGGAGUUUCAUAUCAACCUCCUCUUAGCAGGUAUCUGAUAAAAUUGAAGCCUUAUUUCCAACCUCUCCUUCCCCUCAGCUGCCGGAAGCGAGAAAGAGCUUUUUCUCCCAACUCCUCAUCACAGUCUCUUGCCUUGUUGUUUGGGGUGAGGGGGAAACAACAUCUGCACUACUCUAAACUUCCCCAGCAUCCUCAUGGAUACCAAUGGGCAGAGAGGGAUCUGCUAGGCUACACUUCCCACAGCCUCCUGGUUGCUGCUGACGCUAGAGCUGGCAGCAAAAUAGUCAAAAAGGAUGUAUUACUGCUGCAGCUGUUACAGAUCUUAUAAUGGCAUUAAGCUCUGACUCAGAGAGUAAUUUUGAGCCAAUGGAUUCUGGCAGUGACUACAGUUGUGAUAUUCCCACUAAGAAAACCAUUAUCAGCAAUAGAAAUGAUGAGGAGAGACUGGACAGUGGAAAAGCCUGGACCAAAGCAUGGAUUUUGAAACCUUUCUCUCUUUUAACUACCCCAAUAAUGUCCCACCACAAUACUUUCCACUAGGGGAGUAUCUGGAACUUAUGUAGUCAUUACAUGUUUUCACCCACACGAUAUUUUCAGUUUCUAAAUAUCUUCUAACCAGAUUAUUUAUACUAAAUAAAUGUUAAAUAAAUGGUAAAAUAUUAUUGGUGAACUUUUUAAACCAAAAAUGUACAGUUUUUAUGGUUUCUGUAGCAGCUAUAAUUGGGCACCAUUGUGCAUCUGUGGUGUCUUGUGUACACUUUUAUGUUAUAAAAUUGUGGUACUUUGUGCCUCUGGAGACUAUAUAUAAUAAUCAAUAUAUUUAUUUGGUUGGCAGUGUGAACCAUGCCAUUGUUCUAAGGAUUAACAUAUAAAAUAAACAAUAUGGUCAAAUUACAGUUGACUUUUACCUUUUACAUUGAACUUCCUGACUCUUAUGGGCUUAAAAAUGUCCACCAUAAUACAGAAUUAAUGUGACUUUUUGCAUUUCAUUUUCUAGUUUUUUUAUUAAAGAAAGAAAAUGUUGAGAAUUGAUUGAACUUUCAAAUAGGCAUACAGAGUACAUUUAUCUGAAUGAUAUCACACUGAAAUAGACAAUAAGUGGGUUUGUUUCAAUCUUCUGAUAUCAAAAAUAUAUGGGAAAUACAAGCAUGCUCAUUUUUGUGAGCAGACAUUUUAAUUUGCAGGGGGCAGCAUGGCAAAAAGUGAAUGAGUCUGACAGUGUUCAGUGGUAUUGCUCAUUAAGCAGGAAUAUGUGAAACAGACCCUUGAGACAGAAAGCUGAAUUGGACAUGUGAAAUCUUUACUGUGGAUAACAUCAGAAAGCACAUAUGAAGAGGGUAUUUCAUUGGUGUAACUUCUGAUAUUUCAGAAUGUUUUAUAGGGUGUGCCCGGUUACAGUUCUGAAAAGUUAAUUUAUGGUACCUCAGAGGGCUCUUGUAGUCUAUGUAAAGGCAAUAAAGUCACAUAUAAUAGUAUUCCUGACCCUCAUUGAAAGUACUUCAGGUGAUGACACCAAUAUUUGAAUUCUGGACACAGCUCAGUGUGAUAUUUAAGUGUAUAGUUAAGUAUAUUGAGAUUUAUAAAAGGCACACAAUCAACAUAAAAGUACGCUGUAUUAAAAUAUCCUUAUCACUGGUACUAACAACACUUUACUUUAUUAAAAAAGAAUUUUUAAAAUAUUGUUUACUUUUUACUAUUCCUGGAAUUCUCAAAUAUUUUGAUAGUAUAGACCAUAUCUUAAUGGAGAUUCCUCGUAAUAAAACUCCUCAUGCAUUUUUAGUCACAUAAUAUCACUCUGGGAACUACAGCAGUUGCUUGUAUUGAGCAGUAUUAUCAGGAAAAUAUGUAUGUAUUUUAACUGCCUUAAUGCAAUGCAUUGUGUCUUUUUUUAAAAGUUAAUAUUAUUCUCUUCUUUUCCUCUUCCUUUCAUUUUCCCCCUCCCAUUUGUUCUGUUUCUCUCUGUUCAUGCUUCUCUACUGUCUUGCCAUCUUUUACGUUUCUUUCACUACACAUGCUUGCUUGUUAUGUAGACCUCCUGUUCCUCUGCAUACAUUUUCCCACAGCUUGAUUCUCUUUUCUCCUGGACAUUAGCUCCAGCAGCUACCUGGUCUUUUGGACAAACCACCCAGCUGCCUUGUUUUCUUUUCUUCUGCUCCCCUGGUCACUCCGCUCCCAUUUUUUAUUCUAGAUGCUAAGUGUAACUCUUGGUUCCUCUCCUGUUCCGUUUAUACAGCAGAGGCGGGGUGGCUGGCUGGCUGGCUCCUUCACCUCAUUCCCAGCUGCUUUUGGAAAGCCUCCCAGUUCUUCUAUGCUAUAAAAACCCUGGAGACCUGUAAAAGCAGCUGGAAAUGAAGAGUAAAGACAGGUCUCCAUGGACCAUAAGCAAGUGUUUUGUGGACCUUAGUUUGAGAACCUCUGAUGUUUGUUUUCUUUUUGCUUUGCAUUGCAUUUCACUUGGGACCCAAUCCAUCUCCCACUGAAGCCAACAGGAGUCUUUCCACUGACUUUAGAUUUGGGAGAUAGAUCUGGCCCAUUUAUUGGAAAGUGAAAGUAGACUGGUUUUAUUUUUAUUUCUAGUCAGUUUCAUUUUCAGGUUCUCAUGCACUGACUAGAACAGGGGUCAGCAACCUUUCAGAAGUGGUGUGC